CUGCNGAGNCGAACCCGGNNNNNCCCGCGGGGGCCGAAGGUUCGCUUGCGUGGGCCUCGGCCCGAUCGUCCGUCCUCGGGGCCUCGGCCCCGGGGUCGGGCGGAGCUUCUCGGAGGGACCCCCCGUACAGCGAAGCGGGUGGAGGCGCGAGGCGAAAACAGGUCUGUGAUGCCCUUAGAUGUUCCGGGCCGCACGCGCGUUACAGUGACGCGCCCAACGAGCUUCGACCCGGCCCGUAGGGGUCGGGUAACCAUCAGGACGCGUCGCGGUGGGGACGGACCGUUGCAACUGUCGUUCUCGAACCAGGAAUUCCUAGUAGGCGCGGGUCAUCAGCCCGCGCCGAUUGCGUCCCUGCCCUUUGUACACACCGCCCGUCGCUCCUACCGAUCGAACGGUCCGGCGAGGACCCGGGACGACCCGCGACCCCCGCGGCCGAAAUGCUACGGGACGCGGGCCGGAACCCUUUCGAACCUUAUCGUUUAGAGGAAGGAGAAGUCGUAACAAGGUCUCCGUAGGUGAACCUGCAGA
rnacentral:rRNA from 1 species